rnacentral:lncRNA from 1 species
ACUAAUAAUAAAAAAAACUAAAAGAACAUGGCCAUGGAAUCACAGAACCCAAAUUCCAAGACUAGAAUCGAAAAACCGUCCUUUUCUGACUGGUUUUGGAAGGAAAAAAACGACUUUCCCUUCGUUUCGCAGCGUUCACUAUCACAAAAAAAAAAAAAAAAAAAAAAACAGAACUUAAGUCACCCUGAAAACAGAGAGUUUCAGACGUGGAGAAGAGAAAGAGAAAAUGAAAGAAAAGGCCGUCACUUGUGCAUACGAAGUCGGUUGAACCGAGCGGCAUCGGUGCACAAGAAGAGUUGUCGGGGCGUCAUUUCCCCAAUGACUUCACGCUUUUCUCCGACACUGAAACACACACAACAGUUUUUACGCAUACACACACGGUGCAUUGUCUUUUUUUGCCCCCGCGUUCCUACGUGCAGAAAUGAGAAUUAGCGCAAUAGUUUUUAGUCUCGCCUGCUCGAUCCGUGCCUCAGGAACCCACAUCAGGGUUUCGUUUAACCGCAACAACGGGAUGUACGUCUUUUACGGUGCGUUGAAUUUCCAUCAAAAUUCAGAUCCUUUCUUUGCGCGCAAGAGGCUUAAGGAUAUUGGCAAAGCUUUCAUUUCGAUUCGUGUUUGACACUUGUUCAACCAACAGACUACCGGAGCUUCUGAAACGUCCGCAACGCACCACCAAAUCAGAGAGGUUCGCAGCGCUAUUAUUUAGACCAAACACCACGAACAAGGUGCAAACACCCAAAAUAAAUUGAAGACAAAGAUGGCAGUACCGAGAAAUGAAAAACAAGACGAAAUGCUGACAUUUUUUACGAAGAAAAAAAAAAAAAAACAAUUUUUCAAAAGAAAAGAAAAACAAGAUAGUGGAACGAUGAAUUUCAAGCGAAUUCAACCCUGCUCCAUCGUGUAUGACAACCUGGGCUACUGGAUGGUUGGAUCAUACGCAGUGGGGGGGAAAAAAUGUAUGAUCAAUGGGAAGGUGCUCACAUCUCACUUGCGUACUACGAGAGGCACGCACGUGGACAGAGAAAAGCACUGGAGAGCAGCACUGGUCCAGUUUUAUCAUUAUCAAGCUGGAAUUGACAUUGACUAACGACCGCCCGAGAGCCGAAAACGAUUGGCUCCGUCUAAGUGCACUUCUGGAUAUCACUAACCCAUCCGCAACCUUGAUGACGGAAACCACGCGACUUGACAGUUUCCCACCUGUUAUCCCUACCAGCUCUUUUCUUUUUUUCUUUUUUUUCCCCCUCCGCUUCUCUCUCUCUCUCUCUCACCCUCUCCUCCUUGUUGCUUCCUUUUCAGGAACUUCAAAAAAUAAAAUAAAAUGUGGAAAUCCAACAGAAAAAAAAAACAAAAACUGGAAAAUCUCUUUUGUUUUUCUUUUGAAGAGUUGCAGCGCGCAACACACACAAGACGCAAAGGACGUUCGGAAUCUGAUAACUAUCGAUGGUUAAGGAAAAGAGUUCAACUAACAGAGAGGGGCAAAAGGAAACAAGGAAGAUAUACGUAAAGAAACCAAGGAAAAACUUAACAAAUAAUUCGGAAAGACUUGUUAGGUAGUCACAUUGGACUGCCACGCAGGGCUGCAGCGAAAACAAUUGACAGCAAAAAGAGGUACGGCAAACUUGUCAGCGGAAUCGAAUUCAGCCAUUAGUGAUUGCGAUGCACACCAAUGCGCAUCGCGCGAGUUACCACCUGCACAUACACCCAUACGAGUUUUCAAGCUUCAUUAGAUGUAAUGAUUUGCGAUUCACUACGUUCGUCACUGAUAAAUAAACAAUUGAUUUCGUGUAGA